GCAGCAGGCCGCCCUAUCGCUGCCGAUCCCGAUCUAUCGGGAUUCGGGAGAGGAAAGUCCGGACACCAAAGGGAAGCAUAGCGGCUAACGGCCGUCGUCCCGAACACGUUUCGGGAAAGGACCAGUGCAACAGAAAGAAUGUACAGGUAAUGCUGUAGUGAAAUCAGGUAAACUCUAUGCGGUGAAAUGCCACGUAAACCUGCGCUCGAGGGUUCCCGCCCAAUGCAGGAGGGUAGGCAGAUAGAGCGUUUUCGGCAACGGAACGCCUAGAUAAAUGAUGGGGAUCUUUCUAUGGAAGGAUACAGAAUCCGGCUUAUAGGCCUGCUUUUUUA
rnacentral:RNase_P_RNA from 1 species